rnacentral:rRNA from 1 species
GUCCACGCUGUAAACGAUGAGCACUAGGUGUGGGGGGUUCAGUCCCCUCCGUGCCGCAGCUAACGCAUUAAGUGCUCCGCCUGGGGAGUACGGCCGCAAGGUUGAAACUCAAAGGAAUUGACGGGGGCCCGCACAAGCGGUGGAGCAUGUGGUUCAAUUCGAUGCAGAGCGAAGAACCUUACCUGGGCUUGACAUGCAGGAAGUAGAAACCGGAAACGGCGACGACCUGUUGAGUCAGGAACCUGCACAGGUGGUGCAUGGCUGUCGU